rnacentral:rRNA from 1 species
GUACAGAGGUCCCAAGCGUUGUUCGGAUUUAUUGGGCGUAAAGAGCGUGUAGGCGGCCAGGUAGGUCCGUUGAUGAAAACUCGAGGCUCAACCUCGAGACGUCGGCGGAAACCCUCUGGCUAGAGUCCGGAAGAAGGAGAGUGGAAUUCCUGGUGUAGCGGUGGAAAUGCGCAGAUAUCAGGAGGAACACCGAUGGCGAAGGCAGCUCGCUGGGACGGGUACUGACGCUGAGGCGCGAAAAGGCGUGGGGAGCAAACAGG